UACAUCGGAUAGAGCCUUGGUAAUAAUACCCUUA
rnacentral:scRNA from 1 species